GAUCAUGGCUCAGGACGAACGCUGGCGGCGUGCCUAACACAUGCAAGUCGAGGGGCAGCAUAAUGGAUAGCAAUAUCUAUGGUGGCGACCGGCGCACGGGUGCGUAACGCGUAUGCAACCUACCUUUAACAGGGGGAUAACACUGAGAAAUUGGUACUAAUACCCCAUAAUAUCAUAGAAGGCAUCUUUUAUGGUUGAAAAUUCCGAUGGUUAGAGAUGGGCAUGCGUUGUA
rnacentral:rRNA from 1 species